GGCUUUGUAGCUCAGUUGGUAGAGCGUCAAGCCAGUGACUUGAAGGUCCCUGGUUCAAGUCCAGGUGAAGCUA